rnacentral:misc_RNA from 1 species
GUUCAUUGAACAGCCUUACAAAGGCAAGGACGAAUUUACAUAGUUUAGUUGAGCCAACCAAUUACAGCGGAGGUUAGAGUCAUGUAAAAAUUUGGUGGCCAUUACGUGAGCUGCUUUAUUGCAAACUCUAUGAACAGCAGAAAAAUAGACAUAUUCACAAGUGGAAGAUAACUCUAAAACAUCAAGAAGAAUUCCAUGGACAACUGUCGGUGAUAUUUCAGUGCGGAGGCCAUCAAUUACCACUGAAGAGUCACCUUCCAAGAUUACUUUUUGAAGACCAGCAGUAGAGGCUAGCAGCGCAGCUUCUCUAAUUGCUAAGCUAUCCAAGAUCAGAAGGUCUUAAAUAGAAUUCCAUAGUUUACAUCUCAAGUCCAGAAUUUUUCCGUAAUGAUCACGCACAAUAACUGCAGUUGCUCCUCUAUUGUUCUGUUUAUCUAUUGCAGCAUCACAGUUUAUCUUAUUCACACUCGCUGAGGUGAACACCAAGACGGGAGCCGAUGCUAACUGAGAAGAAUGAGAAGAUUCUAUUGAUAUGGUUGAUUGAAAAUCUUCUUGAUAUUUUAAAGCACUUGAUAUAACUUCUUGCCAAUUCUGCCUUUUUUUUUUCA